UACGUAGGGUGCGAGCGUUGUCCGGAAUUAUUGGGCGUAAAGGGCUCGUAGGCGGUUUGUCGCGUCGGGAGUGAAAACCCAGGGCUUAACCCUGGGCUGGCUUCCGAUACGGGCAGACUAGAGGUAUGCAGGGGAGAACGGAAUUCCUGGUGUAGCGGUGAAAUGUGUAGAGAUCGGGAGGAACACCGGUGGCGAAGGCGGGUCUCUGGGCAAUACCUGACGCUGAGGCGCGAAAGCGUGGGGAGCAAACGGG
rnacentral:rRNA from 1 species